rnacentral:rRNA from 1 species
GGAGGAAUAUUGGGCAAUGGGGGAAACCCUGACCCAGCAACGCCGCGUGAAGGAAGAAGGCCUUCGGGUUGUAAACUUCUUUGACAGGGGACGAAAGAAAUGACGGUACCCUGAGAGGAAGCCACGGCAAACUACGUGCCAGCAGCCGCGGUAAUACGUAGGUGGCGAGCGUUGUCCGGAAUCACUGGGCGUAAAGGGCGCGUAGGCGGUCAUGCAAGUCGCAUGUGAAGGACCAGGGCUUAACUCUGUGGUGGCAUGCGAAACUGUGUGACUUGAGUGCAGUAGAGGGAAGCGGAAUUCCUGGUGUAGCGGUAAAAUGCGUAGAGAUCAGGAGGAACACCGGUGGCGAAGGCGGCUUUCUGGGCUGUAACUGACGCUGAUGCGCGAAAGCGUGGGGAGCAAACA